rnacentral:SRP_RNA from 13 species
CUCCAGGGACCCGCCGGCGUCGCGGAGGGGGGCGCCGGAAUGCCUCAAAUCGCCGGCGGCCUGGCAGAAGAUGAUGCCGAAGACAUAGAUGACGAAGAAAAGGAUCGCCAACGAGCAGAGCAAAGUCCUCGCCGAUGACAGCAGCGCGAAGGCCAUUUU